UGGCCGUAAACGAUGUGGACUUGGUGUUGGGAUGGCUCCGAGCUGCCCCAGUGCCGAAGGGAAGCUGUUAAGUCCACCGCCUGGGAAGUACGGUCGCAAGACUGAACUUAAAGGAAUUGGCGGGGGAGCACCACAACGCGUGGAGCCUGCGGUUUAAUGGACUCAACGCCGGGAAGCUUCACCGGAUAAGACAGCGGAAUGAUUGCCGGGCUGAAGACCCUGCAUGACCAGCUGAGAGGAGGUGCAUGGCGUAGAC
rnacentral:rRNA from 1 species